UGCCUGCCCGGUGACUUAGUUAAACGGCCGCGGUAUUUUGACCGUGCAAAGGUAGCAUAAUCAUUUGCCUUUUAAAUGGGGGCUGGUAUGAAUGGCAAGACGGGAAUCAAACUGUCUCUCUCUUCAUGUAUUUUGAAAUUAAUAUUUCCGUGAAGAAGCGGAGAUGGAGUCGUAGGACGAGAAGACCCUAUCGAGCUUUAGUCGAAUAAUUAUAGGCUAGUGGUGGUAUUUUAUAUGCUAAUAAGUUAUUUUAUUAGUUUGAAAGGUACUGUUAAUAAUACUGAGGUUAUAUAUUGUAGACUUAGGUUGGGGCAACCGCGGAGAAUAAGAAUCCUCCGCUGAAUUAUUGUUAAAUAUUAUAUUUUCAAUAGUUAUGUUUAUUAGAAGUGAUCCACUUGUAAGUGAUUAAAAAAAUAAGUUACCGUAGGGAUAACAGCGUAAUUUUUUUGGAGAGUUCAUAUUGAUAAAGAAGUUUGCGACCUCGAUGUUGGAUCGGGAUUUCCUAGAGAUGCAGCAGUUU
rnacentral:rRNA from 1 species